AUUGAACGCUGGCGGCAUGCUUUACACAUGCAAGUCGAACGGUAACAGGCCGCAAGGUGCUGACGAGUGGCGAACGGGUGAGUAAUGCAUCGGAACGUGCCCAGUCGUGAGGGAUAACUACUCGAAAGAGUAGCUAAUACCGCAUACGAUCUAUGGAUGAAAGCGGGGGACCGUAAGGCCUCGCGCGAUUGGAGCGGCCGAUGUCAGAUUAGGUAGUUGGUGGGGUAAAGGCUCACCAAGCCAACGAUCUGUAGCUGGUCUGAGAGGACGACCAGCCACACUGGGACUGAGACACGGCCCAGACUCCUACGGGAGGCAGCAGUGGGGAAUUUUGGACAAUGGGCGCAAGCCUGAUCCAGCAAUGCCGCGUGCAGGAAGAAGGCCUUCGGGUUGUAAACUGCUUUUGUACGGAACGAAACGGCUCUGGUUAAUACCCGGGGCUAAUGACGGUACCGUAAGAAUAAGCACCGGCUAACUACGUG
rnacentral:rRNA from 1 species